GCUACGGGUGGCUGCAGUGAGGAAUAUUGGUCAAUGGGCGAGAGCCUGAACCAGCCAAGUCGCGUGAAGGAUGACGGCCCUACGGGUUGUAAACUUCUUUUGUCAGGGAGCAAUUGAGUCCACGUGUGGGCUUAGCGAGAGUACCUGAAGAAAACGCAUCGGCUAACUCCGUGCCAGCAGCCGCGGUAAUACGGAGGAUGCGAGCCUUAUCCGGAUUGAGUGGGUUUAAAGGGUGCGUAGGCGGAAUAUCAAGUCAGCGGUAAAAAUUCGGGGCUCAACAACGUCGUGUCGUUGAAACUGAUGUUAUUGCGUGGGCGAGAAGUAUGCGGAAUGCGUGGUGUAGCGG
rnacentral:rRNA from 1 species